rnacentral:rRNA from 1 species
GAUGAACGUUGGCGGCGUGCCUAACACAUGCAAGUCGAACGCUAGUAGCAAUAUUAGAGUGGCGCACGGGUGAGUAACACGUAGCUUACCCACCUCCCAGCGCGGGAGUAACGGUUCGAAAGAACUGCUAAUACCGCAUAAGCUCACGGCCUGUAGAGGGCUGCGAGAAAAGGACGCAAGUCACUGGGAGACGGGGCGUGCGGCCCAUCAGCUCGUUGGUGAGGUAACGGCUUACCAAGGCGA